rnacentral:rRNA from 1 species
UACGAAGGGGGGCUAGCGUUGCUCGGAAUCAUUGGGCGUAAAGAGCGCGUAGGCGGUCCGGUAAGUCCGCUCUGAAAGUCCGGGGCUCAACCCCGGGAGGCGGGCGGAUACUGUCGGGCUAGAGUCCGGAAGAGGCGAGUGGAAUUCCUGGUGUAGCGGUGAAAUGCGCAGAUAUCAGGAGGAACACCAAUGGCGAAGGCAGCUCGCUGGGACGGUACUGACGCUGAGGCGCGAAAGCGUGGGGAGCAAACAGG